rnacentral:lncRNA from 1 species
AUGGGAUAGAGAGCCAUUCUGCUCCAUCAGAUGUCCCAGCCGAACUUCAGUCGACAGAUCCAAACUCUCAAGCAAGUCACGACAAUGGCCACUAUCCUGCUCCACUCUCUGCAACAGAUUUUGCGUGGCUCCAUUACUCUCUGGCAAGUUGUGACAAUGGACACCACUCUACUCUUCGAGCUCCACUACUCUCUGGCAAGUCGCGACAACG